CUGAUCUGCUGAGUCGGCCAUGGGCGAGGCUCGCCCUCGCCAGAUCCGAUGAGGGCAAGCCUCACCCAUGGCUUGAUUUAGCGAGGUGG
rnacentral:pre_miRNA from 1 species